ensembl:snoRNA Gm24429 small nucleolar RNA SNORA17
CCCACCCCUGGAGGCCUUGCAGAUGUAGUGUUGCUGUGUCACAUGUGCACCAGUAGGUGGCAGAGAGGAGAGGUACCAUGUCUCUGCUCAGUGUGUUCUGAUCGAUGAACAUCUGAAUGAUUAGUAUAGCCCAACGUU